rnacentral:rRNA from 1 species
AGCGUAGGCGGACUGUUAAGUCAGAGGUGAAAGCCCAGGGCUCAACCUUGGAAUUGCCUUUGAUACUGGCAGUCUUGAGUAUGGGAGAGGUGAGUGGAACUCCGAGUGUAGAGGUGAAAUUCGUAGAUAUUCGGAAGAACACCAGUGGCGAAGGCGACUCACUGGCCCAUUACUGACGCUGAGGCUCGAAAGCGUGGGAGCAAACA